rnacentral:lncRNA from 1 species
GGGCACAGAUUUUUGGUAAAAUGGGAAUUAAUCACCCAGGGAGUACCUGGAGCGGGCGCAUCUCUUGUCAGUGGACAUCCAGAAAAGUAUUUCAAGUGGACAGAGAAAUGUACUAUGGUUGAUAUAAUCAGUCUCCAACUGUGCAAAAUAAAACAGAAUUUGAGGUGAAAAGCACUAUAAGAGUCAAAAUUUGAAUUUGCAUGCGAGCAACAAUUCACC